AUGGGGUACAUGAACGACACUCGUGGUUUACUGUUGACGACGUGCCCCAGCAGCAUCGACCACUACGUCCAGAACCUGACCUCCUCCUACUCCAACAAGAGCAACGAGUCCUCCGUGGUGGCCACCUCCGUCUUCAUGCUCGUCCUCGCCGCCGUCUUCUUCAACCUCAACCUCUUCAGCCGCGUCUCCAACACCAGCGCCGUCCUCAACCCCACCGCCCGCGCCGUUCUCAACUCCGCCCUCAACCUCUUCCUCCCCGUCAUGUCCUACCUCUUCUCCGAGGCCAAAAACACCCCUGACGGUGGCGCCGACCUCCCGGUGCGGGCUCGCCUCAUCCUCACCUGGAUGCUUCUCGUCGAGCUCCUCCGCAAGAAGGUGGAGGCCAUCCUGGUCACCGCCGGCAUGCAGCAGGGCUACUCUAACAUCAUCACACAUGCCAACGCCGUCGCCUGGCUGGGCUACCUCGCCUUCUUCAACCUCAAGGUGGCCGGCCGGGUGGCCGUCUUCGGCACGCUCUGGCUGCUCUGCGCCGCCAAGUUCGUGCAGAGGGUGGCCUUCACCGAGAUAGGGAAGCGUUCCUUGGCCUACGGCAAGAACGCUCGCCUCCUCUCCUCCUACAUGGCUGAAAUGGUCAAGGACCCGCGGCAUGGCGGCACCGCCGUCCAGGACCAGGACCUCUCUCCGUUGCAGAGGAUGAAGAUGUGCAAGUACGUCGUCAUGGGAGAAGAGAACCUUAUGCUGAAGCCCGGCCCGCAUGGCUACGAGCUCGACCUCGACAGGCUCAACACCACGUACGACGAUGGCGACCACAUCGUCACCGUCGGGAAAAUAUGGGAACUCGUUGAGCAGGAGAAGAAACCGAGGCUUAAAAGGCUCCAGAGGCUAAGCCUCUCCUUCGCGCUCUUCAAGCUGCUGCGGCCUAGGUUCGAGCUCCUGCCGGCCAUGACCAAGCAAGAAACCGACCACUGCCGGGACCUCAUCUUCCAAGGCCUGUGCAGAGUCAGCGACGGCGACGUGGACCCAGGGGUGGCACUAUUCCAGGUGCUCAAGGACGAGAUCAGCUUCGUGAGUGAGUACUACCACUCGGUCCACCCGGUGGUGCUGGCCAGCCCCUACUUCUUUGUGAUCAACUACAUCACCUUCCCAGUGGUGGUGUUGGUCCUUUGCUUCAUGACCAUCGCCCUCGCCGGCAACGGCGACAUGCUCUUGGCGUUUCACAGCGUCGGGGACGACAACUACGCCAUAUCGUCGGGCAUAUUCACGCUCACCAAGUGCCUAUGGAAGAACUUUCUCCGGAAACCGGCGGCCUUCUUCGCCAUCAUCGACAUCUCCAUCACCUACCUCCUGUUCAUCGCUUUCGUCUACGAGGAGGUGUGGGAGUACAUGGUGUUUGUGUUCUCCAACUGGUUCAUGGUGUCGCUGCUCUGCACAUACACCGCAAGGCGACGCUGGCAGGAGAGUAAGACCUACCGUGGCACUCUCCGCCGCAUCGCCUGGAUCAGUAGCAAGCUGAGCCACCCUAGCCGUGUCACCCUCAAGCAGUUCUCCGUGCUGAGGGUUAGCUGGCUCUCCAUGACUCUGCCCACCACGUCUCUACCAACGCAAGCAAAGAGGUCCAUAAUGGAACGCUUCCGCUCGGCGGCAUACGGCCGCGAUGGUUUCCCGGCCCCCCUUAGCAACGGAAGAUACGUACUAUACUCCAUGCAACGGUACUCACGCUUGUCAUGGUUCUGCGAUACUCAAAGUGUCGCAGAGGUCAUCAUCACCUGGCACAUUGCCACCAGCCUAUUGGAGAUGACGUAUCCAGGACAUCGCAAAGGAGGGACCUCGCCGACGGAUCACCAUAGGGCGGUGGCGACAAAACUGUCCAAGUAUUGUUCUUACCUCGUGGUCUUCCACCCGGAGCUGCUACCGGAUGACCGGGAGUGCACAGAGCGCGUGUACGAGGACAUGAAGACCGGUCUCAAGGAGGCGCUCGGGAGUUGGAACUACCACUUAGGGUCGGAGAACGCGCGGUACACGAAGAUGAUGGCGACGAACCAGGAUAAGCUGCGCUCCGACUGCUGGGACAACACCAUGACUAUGGUCCAGAAGGGGAUAGUGCUUGGAAACGUGUUGGUGGUAGAGGCCAAUGGAGACUAUGGGGCCGUUUGGAAACUGCUUGCCGACCUUUGGGUUGAGCUGAUUGUGUAUGUUGCCCCAUCCAGCGGCGAUGAGCACGUGAAAUGGCACGAGGAGGCGCUAGUGCUAGGUGGCGAGCUCAUCACCUUGCUUUGGGCCUUGGCCACGCACACCGGUGUAACCCGCCCACCGUCGACAUCGUUGGUUGUCAUGCCGGUUGGCGAGGAUGUCGAGGAGGGAGUACGUCCUUGUGUAUAG
rnacentral:rRNA from 1 species